CGCAAGACUUGUGCCGAUGAACAGCGAUU
rnacentral:sRNA from 1 species